CCGCUGCGGCAUUUCUGCAGGUCACCUGAACAAGAAGAGCCUUUCUGCCUUUCUGUAGGGGUUUCUGAUGAGGUCAAGGGUGUAAUUAAAUGCUUAUGGUUAACGGUUUAUGUAAUUAAAUGGUUAUGGUUAAGAUUAAAAGUUAAAGUUUUGACUUCACACGGCAGUUGUUGUAUUUGUGCAUUGAUUUUUACCACGCUUUUCUUUCCCCCGCAGGAAACGGACUGUUUUAUUGUCCCCGUCGCUCUCCGAGCCCUUCCCGUCUGUGUGCCUGACCCCACAGUCUCUCGGUCGCUGGGUUUUUGCCAGGACCCACAAGUGACCGUGGACAGACGCGGCGCUGGCCGCUGGCCGUGAUGUUUUGUGGCUCCAGGAGCUGCCGGGCACAACGGCCGCUCGCUCGCAGGGCUGCUGGCAUCGGGGGAACCGGCUGAGGCCACAGCUGCUCCCACCGCUGUUGACAAUGUGGUGGACUUCAGUGCAGACGUGGGUGGUGUUCGUGCUGAAGGACAACAAACUCAAGGACGUCCUGGCCCUGGACAUGAGGACUUUGCUGUGUGGAAGCGGAGAGCUGUCCCUGAAGGACAACGGACGCCCCAGGACAUCCAAGGUAAAGCCAGCCCCUCUGUCGAGGCUUUGAAACCCUCCGGCAUCGGCUGGUGUCACGGACAAGCGGCUCUGGCCAGACGGACUGCAGGGGCAUCGGGAUCCAGCCAAGCAGCGAGGAUGCUGCAGAAAUAGAGCUGCUGUGCCGGGAUUUUCUGUGAUCAGCAAUGGGCAGGGUGGGUGCCAGUGAGGAGGGAAACGUGUUGGACCCGCACGUGUGAAGGGUGCGAGAACCCCGGGUUUGGGGAGCCCCAGUUUGGCUGGGACGCCUCAUGUGCAGGAGUCGGUAUUUCCUCCGGUGAGUCUGUGCUUUGUGUUCCAGCCUCCCUCCUCGGAUGGCACGAGCCGGGUGCGAAUGGACGGACCGGUGCUGGGCCCUGCUCUGCUCCUCUGCUCCGGGGCCUCACGCAGGCAGCUGCGCUCAAAAUGUGCUGCGGUGGGAGCAGAGGCCACUCCAGGGACCCACCCCGGCUCCUGCAGCCCCGACGGUGGACAGUGAAGCCGGGCAGAGGGAGCGAUGCCAUCCCAGAGCUGCUGGUCCCUCGGGGGGUGUUGGUGGCCCCGGUGAUGCCCGUGGCUGUGCCCACGUGUGGGGAAGGCUCAUCCCGGUGCCCAGGCGAGGAGCGUGGCCCCGGGGCGGGGGAGGCUGUGCCCGGUGAGGUGAGUGCCCUGGGGCAGCGGGGAGGGGAGCCAGAGCUGCGGGGGGGGACCAGGACACUCGGCUCCCGGGGAUGGGGAGGGCACGUGCUGCUGGUGCUGGCCCCGGCCCCACCUUGGGGCUGCUGGAGUCGGUCUGUGACGCUGCUGCGUGGGCAGGUUUUCAGCCAGAUGUGGCUGUCACCCACCCUUCUGGGGAGAAACGGGACGUUUCUGGUGUCCCGUCCCCUCUCGGGUGCGCGGUGCCGGGCUGCUGCUGCCGAGGGUCCGGGCAGAGCUGCCCGUGCCCAGGCCGCCGCAGGUUUGUCCGUCCCGGUGCCACCAGGAGCUGAUUGUCCCACCUCUCUCC